GACGAACGCUGGCGGCGUGCUUAACACAUGCAAGUCGAGCGGAGCGGCGAACGGGUGAGUAACGCGUGAGUAACUGCCCCCCUCUCUGGGAUAAGAGUUGGAAACGGCUGCUAAUACCGGAUAGUGGGGGAUGACUCGCGUCCUAUCAGCUUGUUGGUGGGGUAGUGGCCUACCAAGGCGACGACGGGUAGCCGGCCGGCGGGUGCGACCGGCCAACUUGGGCUGAGUUACUGCCCAAACUCCUACGGGGGGCAGCAGGGGGGAAUAGUGCACAAUGGGGGAAACCCUGAUGCAGCAACGCCGCGUGCGGGAUGACGGCCUUCGGGUUGUAACCCGCUUUCAGCCAUGACGCGGUAGUGGCAGAAGAAGCACCGGCUAACUACGUGCCAGCAGCCGCGGUAAUUC
rnacentral:rRNA from 1 species